rnacentral:rRNA from 1 species
AGCAGCCGCGGUAAUUCCAGCUCCAAUAGCGUAUAUUAAAGUUGUUGCAGUUAAAAAAGCUCGUAGUUGAAUUUCGGGAUCGAUACGUCGGUCGUGCCUUCGGUACGCACUGGCGUUUAUCGAUUUCUCCCUUCUGACGAACCAUGAUGUCAUUAAUUUGGUGUUAUGGGGAAUCAGGACUGUUACUUUGAAAAAAAUUAGAGUGUUUAAAGCAGGCAUUAGCUUGAAUACAUUAGCAUGGAAUAAUGAAAUAGGACGUUUGAUUCUAUUUUGUUGGUUUCUAGGAUCGACGUAAUGAUUAAUAGGGAUAGUUGGGGGCAUUAGUAUUCAAUUGUCAGAGGUGAAAUUCUUGGAUUUUAUUGAAGACUAACUACUGCGAAAGCAUUUGCCAAGGAUGUUUUCAUUAAUCAAGAACGAAAGUUAAGGGGAUCGAAGACGAUCAGAUACCGUCGUAGUCUUAACCUAUAAACUAAUGCCGACUAGGGAUCGGAUGAUGUUAAUUUUUUAAUUGUACUCUACU